rnacentral:rRNA from 1 species
GACGAACGCUGGCGGCGUGCUUAACACAUGCAAGUCGAACGAAAAGAGGGAAAGAGCUUGCUCUUUCCGGAAUUGAGUGGCAAACGGGUGAGUAACACGUAAACAACCUGCCUUCAGGAUGGGGACAACAGACGGAAACGACUGCUAAUACCGAAUAAGUUCCAAGAGCCGCAUGGCCCAUGGAAGAAAAGGUGGCCUCUACCUGUAAGCUAUCGCCUGAAGAGGGGUUUGCGUCUGAUUAGCUGGUUGGAGGGGUAACGGGCCCACCAAGGCGACGAUCAGUAGCCGGUCUGAGAGGAUGAACGGCCACAUUGGGACUGAGACACGGCCCAAACUCCUACGGGAGGCAGCAGUGGGGAAUAUUGCACAAUGGGGGAAACCCUGAUGCAGCGACGCCGCGUGAGCGAAGAAGUAUUUCGGUAUGUAAAGCUCUAUCAGCAGGGAAGAAAAAAAUGACGGUACCUGACUAAGAAGCCCCGGCUAACUACGUG